AAUUUACAACUUGGUAAGAGGGGAGGCUGAGGGUCCAUCAUCCGUGUUUCAGAUGUGGUGAGGACCUCAGGGUCAAGGUCCGCCAGGGAAUCCAGACUGGCCCCUUCACCCUUGGUGGGGACACGGAUUUGCAGAGUAUGCUCAGCAGCCAGUGACAGCCUCCCGUUCUAAGAGAAAAAUGGACACUUUGGUUCCCAGCCAUUCUGCCAGAGAACCGAAGAUCACUGCAGUUUGAUUUUUACAGAGUCUGUAUCACUCUUGCAGCCUGGGACUCUGAGGUGCAAACUUGGCCAGCCCAGUGAGGGAGCCGGGCUGGUUUCCCUUCUCGUGUGACAACCCAGGUGUCGGGUAUUCAAGAGGUGGCCUACUCUACAGCUGCCUGGAGGAAGGCGGAGAAGAAACAGCUUGUGCCCAGCAUGGAAUCUUCUGGGGAUUGGUGGAAAAUGACCUCCAGGCUCCCUCACCCCUUGGUCUCUGUGAGUGCUUAGAGCCCACCUGGCCUGUUUGCACCUGACGUCUCCAGUUGCAUCCCUCAGUUGGGUUUUGUUGCCAUCUGUGUUUUGUAGGACUUCCACCGUGGCUCAGACUGUGAAGAGUCUGCCUGUAAUGCAAGAGACCUGGGUUUGAUCUGUGGGUUGGGAAGAUUCCCUGGAGUAAGGAAUGGCAGCCCACUCCAGUAUUCUUGCCUGGAAAAUCCCAUGGACAGAAGAGCCUGGUGGGCUACAGGUCAUGGGAUCGCAAGGAGUCGGACACAACAUGUUUUAUAGCUGAGGAAACUGAAUCAAGAGAGGACGUGGACUCCCCGCAGUAGAAGCUCAUGUGCGUUGUCAUGGAGCAGCAGUGCUGGCUGAGGACCCAGAGAAGCCAGAAGAGGAGACCCACGGUGGGGCUGCAGGAGGUGCGGCCUGGCUCCUGCCUGACGCCAGCAAGGUGAGUGACAGCGAGCUCCAGCUGCAGCGUGACCCUGAGCAUGGAUUCUGAGCCUCCACGUGACUGCAGCAUCAUGUCCAUCUUCCAGCUCCUGCACAAAUUCCCCCUGUGGUCCAGAAUUCUGUGCGCAUGGAAGAGAAUUCUGGAAAAGAUUGUUUCAGCUUAGCUAAACUGAUGUGGUGCAAAGUUGUCACCACUCAAGGAGACAAAUUUCAACCACAGAUCCCUGUCUCCUUAUGACCUGUGGUUGGGUUCUUUUUUAAAAAAUGUUUGUUUUCUGUUGGAGUAUAGUGUUCAUUUAUUUUUAGUUGGGGGUAUGCGUCUUCGUUGCUGUGCGUGGGCUUUCUCUAGCUGCGGUGAGCGGGGGCCGCUCUUCGUGGUAGCACAUAGGCUGCUUUCCGUCGUUGUGGCACCCAAGCUCCAGGAGCGUGGGCUUCAGCAGCUGCAGCCCGUGGGCUCACUGGCGGUGGCUCACAGGCCCUGGAGCGCACGGGCCCUGGAGCAGUUGCGGCGCACAGACUCAGAUGCUCCGCAGCGCGUGGGC
ensembl:lncRNA